UGGAAUACAGUUGGGUGGAAGAGCUAUGCCCUCCUGGGAUGACUGGAGGGGCAGACGAGGAGAGCCUCUUAUGCACAGAACUUGGAGCCAGCACUGUGCCCAGAGUGAGGCUGGCUAAGGGUGGGACCUUCAUGAUACUCAAGUGGUACCACCACUUCCAGUAACUUUUUCGUGUUUCUUGGAGUAAAAACUUUGGAAUUAUCUUGAACUUUUGUCUCCCCUAAAUCCAAUCAGAUACUCAAACUGGUCUUUCCCUUCAUGUCUAUUUGAUUGUUUCCAUUUCCCUUUGGCAUGUUUGCUGGCAUGUUCCCUUUGGCAUCUGUGAAUGGUGGUUUCAUUCAGAUUGCUAAUAGUAAAUCACCUUCUGGACUUGGGGUCUCCAGGGUGGGCUGCAUGAGACAAUCUUUGGGGGUACAGGAAGAAGGUGCCAGGAUUUCUAUUAAUAUAUACUUUGAACUAAACAUUAGAAAUAAAAUGUUACUUUUUUUUAAA